GGGAGUAUAGCUCAGGUGGUAGAGCAGCCUUCUCAUAAGAGGCUCGUCGUAGGUUCAAUUCCUACUACUCCUA
rnacentral:tRNA from 5 species